CAAUAAGCUAUGUAAGGGCGUAUGGGGAAUGCCUAGGCUCUCAGAGGCGAUGAAGGACGUGAUAAGCUGCGAAAAGCUAUGGGGAGUGGCACACACACAAUGAUCCAUAGAUAUCCGAAUGGGGCAACCCACUAUACUGAAGGUAUAGUACUCCGUAAGGAGGGUAAACCCGCUGAACUGAAACAUCUAAGUAGGCGGAGGAGAAGAAAACAACAGUGAUUCCGAUAGUAGCGGCGAGCGAACUCGGAUUAGCCCAAACCAAACUUGUUACGGCAAUUUUGGGGUUGUAGGACUGCGAUAUUUGAUGCGUUAUGAAUUAGAAUUGUUUGGAAAGACAAACCAUAGAGGGUGAUAGUCCCGUAUAAGUAAAGACCGUUAUUGAUAGCAGUAUCCUGAGUAGUGCGGGGCACGUGAAACCCUGUAUGAAUCUGGCGGGACCAUCCGCCAAGGCUAAAUACUCCUGAGAGACCGAUAGUGAACCAGUACCGUGAGGGAAAGGUGAAAAGUACCCUGAAUAAGGGAGUGAAAAAGAUCCUGAAACCAUACGCUUACAAGCGGUCGGAGCCCUUUUUGGGUGACGGCGUGCCUUUUGCAUAAUGAGCCUACGAGUUACUUUUACUAGCGAGGUUAAGUGAUUCAGUCACGCAGCCGUAGCGAAAGCGAGUCUGAAUAGGGCGUUUUAGUUAGUAGUAGUAGACGCGAAACCGUGUGAUCUACCCAUGGGCAGGGUGAAGCUGUGGUAACACAUAGUGGAGGCCCGAACCCGUUGACGUUGAAAAGUCUUGGGAUGACCUGUGGGUAGGGGUGAAAGGCCAAUCAAACUCGGAAAUAGCUCGUACUCCCCGAAAUGCAUUUAGGUGCAGCGUUGGUUUAUAGUUUUAUAGAGGUAGAGCUACUGAUUGGAUGCGGGGGCUUCACCGCCUACCAAUUCCUGACAAACUCCGAAUGCUAUAAAAUGUUUACUGGCAGUGAGGGCAUGGGUGCUAAGGUCCAUGUCCGAAAGGGAAAGAACCCGGACCAUCAGCUAAGGUCCCCAAGUGUAUACUAAGUUGAAAAAACGCGGUUUGAUUGCUUAGACAGCUAGGAUGUUGGCUUGGAAGCAGCCAUUCAUUUAAAGAGUGCGUAACAGCUCACUAGUCGAGCGAUCGAGCAUGGAUAAUAAUCGGGCAUAAGUAUACCACCGAAGCUAUGGAUUUGUACUUGGUACAAGUGGUAGGGGAGCAUUCUAAACUGGGUAGAAGGUGAUCUGUGAGGAUUGCUGGACUGUUUAGAAAAGAAAAUGUAGGCAUAAGUAACGAUAAUGCGGGCGAGAAACCCGCACGCCGAAAAACCAAGGUUUCCUCAGCUAUGCUAAUCAGCUGAGGGUUAGUCAGGGCCUAACGCGAACCCGAAGGGGGUAGUGGAUGGACAACAGGUUAAUAUUCCUGUACUUGCAUAUAGAUAAAAGUGACGGAGGCGAAUAGUUGGUGCGUGCUGACGGAAUAGCACGUUGAAGGAGCUGGUAACACUCCGAUAGUACACUAAGGCUUCGGCUGCGGUGAUAAUCCAGCGAAUCGACUUCCAAGAAAAGCGACAUAUGCAACCUGUACCGUAAACCGACACAGGUGGUUGGGAUGAGUAUUCUAAGGCGCUCGAGAGAUUCAUGGCUAAGGAACUAGGCAAAAUAGACCCGUAACUUCGGGAGAAGGGUCGCCCUUAAUUUAUUAAGGGCCGCAGUGAAAAGGUCCAGGCGACUGUUUAUCAAAAACACAGGGCUCUGCUAAAUCGAAAGAUGAUGUAUAGGGCCUGACACCUGCCCGGUGCUGGAAGGUUAAGGGGAGAUGUUAGCUUCGGCGACGCAUUGAACUGAAGCCCCAGUAAACGGCGGCCGUAACUAUAACGGUCCUAAGGUAGCGAAAUUCCUUGUCGGGUAAGUUCCGACCUGCACGAAUGGUGUAACGAUCUGGACACUGUCUCGGCCAUGAGCUCGGUGAAAUUGUAGUAUCGGUGAAGAUGCCGAUUACCCGCUGUGGGACGAAAAGACCCCGUGCACCUUUACUAUAGCUUCGUAUUGACUUUGGAUAAGUGAUGUGUAGGAUAGGUGGGAGACUUUGAUCAUGUAUCGCCAGGUAUGUGUGAGUCAUUGUUGAAAUACCACCCUUUACUUAUUUGAAGCCUAACUUCUUUCUAAGAAGGACAAUGCGUGGUGGGUAGUUUGACUGGGGUGGUCGCCUCCAAAAGAGUAACGGAGGCUUCUAAAGGUUCCCUCAGCACGCUUGGUAACCGUGCGUAGAGUGCAAUGGCACAAGGGAGCUUGACUGAGAGACCUACAAGUCGAUCAGGUACGAAAGUAGAGCAUAGUGAUCCGGUGGUUCCGCAUGGAAGGGCCAUCGCUCAAAGGAUAAAAGGUACGCCGGGGAUAACAGGCUGAUCUCCCCCAAGAGCUCACAUCGACGGGGGGGUUUGGCACCUCGAUGUCGGCUCGUCACAUCCUGGGGCUGGAGAAGGUCCCAAGGGUUGGGCUGUUCGCCCAUUAAAGUGGCACGCGAGCUGGGUUCAGAACGUCGUGAGACAGUUCGGUCUCUAUCUACAGUGGGCGUUAGAAAUUUGAGUGGAUCUGACUCUAGUACGAGAGGACCGAGUUGGACUAACCGCUGGUGUAGCUGUUGUUCCGCCAGGAGCACUGCAGCGUAGCUAUGUUGGGAAGGGAUAAGCGCUGAAAGCAUAUAAGCGCGAAACCCGCCACAAGAUGAGAUUUCUUUAAAGGGUCGUGAGAGACGAUCACGUUGAUAGGCUAUAGGUGUAAAGGCAGUAAUGUCAUAGCCGAGUAGUACUAAUAACCCGUAAGCUUAUGUAC
rfam:Joostella marina DSM 19592 genomic scaffold Joomascaffold_1, whole genome shotgun sequence.